GACGAAGGUGGCAAGCGUUGUUCGGAUUCACUGGGCAUAAAGGGCGCGUAGGCGGUUCCGAAAGUGGCGUGUGAAAUCCCCCGGCUCAACCGGGGAAGUGCGCGCCAAACUUCGGUGCUAGAGGGCGGUAGGGGGGACUGGAACUCCGAGUGUAGAGGUGAAAUUCGUAGAUAUUCGGAAGAACACCAGUGGCGAAGGCGGCUCACUGGUCCGGUACUGACGCUGAGGUGCGAAAGCGUGGGGAGCGAACAGG
rnacentral:rRNA from 1 species